CGUAGGGUGCGAGCGUUAUCCGGAAUUAUUGGGCGUAAAAGAGCUCGUAGGCGGUUUGUCGCGUCUGUCGUGAAAGUCCGGGGCUUAACCCCGGAUCUGCGGUGGGUACGGGCAGACUAGAGUGCAGUAGGGGAGACUGGAAUUCCUGGUGUAGCGGUGGAAUGCGCAGAUAUCAGGAGGAACACCGAUGGCGAAGGCAGGGUCUCUGGGGCUGUAACUGAACGCUGAGGAGCGAAAAGCAUGGGGAGCGAACAGGAUU
rnacentral:rRNA from 1 species